UCGCCUUAAAAACCCCGAUGGCUCGACCAAGUAAACUAAUGAUGCAUUUGAAAUCCUCAAAAUGGCGUUCCCCAAAAUUCCAGGGAAUCCCAAUAAUAAUAAAAAAAUUAAACCUUAUUAGAAAUUUUCACAAACACAAAAACUACCUGAACCCCACAAACUUAAAAAAAAACACUCAUAAUAUCCCCCCCCCCUCGCACUCCCCUCUGCGCGCGCAGGCGCCACCCCACCAGAUGUCAGCACAUGCGACUUUUCCCAAAACUCACAUACACUGGCAAAAUAAAAAAAAAAAUCUUAUCCCUGUGUUGCAUCCUCUCGUAUCUCGCAGCGGGAGCCGAGGGCGCUUCUACGGUAAGCCGUGAAACACAAAACGUCGUGAAAAUUUUCAGUUGAAUUCCCCCCGAUUCCGGGUUGUUCCCUGAGCAUAAAAACAUCGAAGUAAUAAAUUAAAAAAACAGCCAGCAAUAACCGACUGACACCCGCUGAUCCUAGUCGCCUAGACUCCAGUGAUGCGGUGACGAUGCGUGCAACGACUACCUCGACAUCUCGACUAAUUGGAAUUAAUUGAUAAUUAAACAAUCAUCGAGGAACGGAGAAGUAUUUUUUUAAUUCCCCUGGACUUGUCUGCCUCACACAACAUCAUCCCGGGUGGAAUAGUCUGAUGAGACACUCUAUUGAAUAUCUGGUGGUAAGAUGGCUGUGCAGCUGGACGGCGGGGGGAAAGAAGACUUGAAAACACAAUUUAUAACCCGCGAGGGUACUUACAAACUUAUGACACUAUCGGAAUAUUCGAGGCCAAACAGAGUUGGUAAUACAGACACGAGGGAUAGUGCAUCGGUUAGAGUGUCAUUCGUAACAUUACCUGAUCCAGCCGAUCCCAGUGGUACACAGGGUCUUGGUGAUCGAAUGUGCUUCAAUUUUGGAAAAGAAUUAUAUGUUUACGUUUAUCGUGGAGUCAAAAAGGCGGUGGAUUUGAACAAACCGGUGGAUAAGAAGCUGUACAAGGGAACAAAUCCAACGUGCCACAAUUUUAAUCAGACAACUGCUACUGCUGAGAUUGCACCACUUCUCGUGGGGUUUUCAACUGGACAAAUACAAUUAAUCGAUCCUAUCAAGAAGGAGUUGAAUAAAUUGUAUAAUGAAGAGAGACUGAUAGACAAGACAAAAGUGACCUGCAUAAAGUGGGUCCCAGGCUCGAGCAACCUCUUCCUAGUGUCUCACAGCUCAGGUCAACUCUACCUCUACAACUGGGAGCUCCCUUGUGGUACGACCCCACCUCAUUACCAGCCCUUCAAAUCCGGGGAUGGUUUCGCAAUUCAUACCUGCAAAACAAAAUCCACCCGUAAUCCCCUGUACCGAUGGGUCAUUGGAGCUGAGGGUUGUUGCAUCAACGAAUUUGCCUUCAGCCCCUGCGGAACAAAUCUAGCUGUUGUAUCACAAGACGGCUUCCUCCGGGUGUUUCACUAUGACACAAUGGAACUUGUAGGUUCAGCGAGAAGCUAUUUUGGUGGUUUUUUAUGUGUCUGUUGGUCGCCAGACGGUCGUUACGUUGUUGUGGGAGGUGAGGAUGAUCUUGUGACUAUCUGGAGCUUCAACGAAAAACGAGUAGUUGCCCGGGGUCAGGGCCACCACAGUUGGGUGAGCGUUGUAGCAUUUGAUCCAUUCACAACGUCUUAUGGAGAAGCUGAUCCUGAUUUCAGUGGAUCUGAUGACGAGGCGAUACAUGGCAAUCACAACAAUCAUUAUCACGAGAAAACAAAAAGAACUUCCACAGCUUCUCAAGGAUUAAAUUCAAACAGAAAUUCUUGUGGCUCUGAACUGAGAGUAUCCGGUGGCACUUGUUACAGAUUAGGAAGUGUCUCUGAAGAUACCCAAUUGUGCCUGUGGGAUAUCACUGAAGAUGUACUGCGGCAGCCUGUGUGUGCCAAACAGAGGGCAUCCACUGCUGGAUCUGGUACAUUCACCUCAUCUGGUACUUUCACCAGUGGUAAUGGAUCCACUUCGAAUCAUUUCAACAAUAGCAAAUACAAUAACAUGAAUAAUAUCUCCAAGGAUGACAGGAAUGAUACAACAGCAAGUGUUGCUGUUUCUACUGUUAAUUCAUUGACUCAAAGAUUUGCUGGUCUUGGUUUUGGUGAUAGAAAGGGUGAUAAUCAUAAGAGAAACUUUAGUCUACCAUUAAGAAGUACAAGUACAAGUAAUAGUAAUGUACAAGUGCAGAAUAGUGGUGAAAAAUCAACGACUAACGGAAGUAAUAUGAACAGUGUCAGUGGUUUUGGUGGUAAAAAAGUUAGUUCUGUGAUGGAUGAUCCAAUGAGAUUAAUUGGUACAGCAUGGUGUCCGAGAUUUGAUGAGUGUCCUGUACUUGAGCCACUUGUUUGCAAAAAAUUGGCACACGAGAGACUGACUGAAUUAGUUUUUAGGGAGGAUUGCUUCGUUACAGCUUGUCAGGAUGGAUAUGUUUAUACAUGGGCAAGACCUGGGCAUAUGGUAGGUCCACUUACUAUUAGCAGCACACUGCACAGGCCACAUCACCAUAGUAAUGUACACAGUAAUAUCAAUUCCAUGCGACUUAAUGAUCUCUGAUGGGGGAAUUUCGACGGGGGUUAACUAAGUUAUUCGACAAGUUGAUAAUACAAAAUUUUGAUGAUUAUUGGAAUUAAUACUGUUUGGUCUGGUAGUCGUCAGUAGAGGAACAACAAAUUUAUUUCCUGGCAAAAUAUUACUUUACACUGUUUAUUGUAUCGUUUAUCAGCUUAUUCUCUUUCCUUCCAUUGAAACUGAAAUUAUACGAGCAUCAGAUUGCAUUACGGCUUUGAGUUUUGAGAGAUAUUUCAUCAUUGUUUCAAGGAUCAAUGUAUUAUUAUCUUGUUAUGUAACAAUUUUAGCUGUAUGUGGAGAAUUGUUUGUGGAAAUCAUGAAAAAAUUGAGGGUUUUACUUGACGUAAAGAAUAUCAACUUUUUCAGAAUUUCCUUUUGAUUUUAUUCAGGGCCCAGUGACAUGUGAGAUCAAAGAGAAAAAUAUUCCAGAUUGAAAGUUGAUAUUCUCUCAUCAUUUUUACUCAGAAAAGAUAUUUUUUUCAUUAUUGAUUUACUCACACUGAAGCACAUAUAAUCGAAAUUCAUCUUCAUUUCUCUAGUAUAUUUUAUACAUAUACUUUAUCUAUAGAAUAAAAACAGUUCAUAGUUUUUUCCUUCAAAUUAAUGAGCUGAACGAAAAAAAAAAACAAAUUUUCAAUUCGAUGAGGUAUUAUCAUUCAUUUUCUUCAACCAACUAAUAAUACUAUCGAAUAAAAGUAUUUUCAUGCUAUAUAUUCAAUACUUUUCGGUUCUUCAAAAAAAUUAAGCUAAACAUGACAAAAAUAUUAAUUUUUUAUUUUUAUUUCCAAUUAAAUGCGGUUCCAUUCUCGUGAACGAAGUGAGGGAAUAAACGUUUAAAAGAAUUCUAAAGUAAAAAUAGUACGAACAUACAGAACAUUUUUCUCUCUAAUCUCAACUAAUCAAGUAGCGACGAAUAGCUCUCAAAAAGUAAUACUCUCAAUUUUUUCAGAAAUUUUGGAGAAAUUGGAAUAUGUUAAUAGGCUGUUUAUCAAAAAAUCCUUCACAUAUUGCAUUUAAAUAAAUAAAUAAUUCAUUGUCUAAGUUCAGUGAGUCACCUAUAAUCAUAAUUAUCUGUCCUAAUUAUCCUUUAGGUGCUCACCGAUGGUUAAUUUGUUUUGAACGCAAAUUAUGUCAAUUUUGUUUUCUAAAGAAAAAGAAAAUUAAUUUAUUGUCUUGAAAAUGUUGCCAAUAGAAAUUGAAACGUUAAUACAUAGGCUAAUCUUUGUUGUUGCUUUUUUUCGUCGUAAUAACCAGGCUAAAUAAUAAUAAUUUUAAUCAAUCAAGGAAAUGGGGGAAUUGGAAAGAGAAAGAGGAAAAGUCCUUUUCAUCAUACAAAUUUUUACAUUGCACUUGGUUUUAAUGGGGAAUUGUUUCAGAUACGAAACAACAAUAUAUCGGAGAUGAAUAUAUUGAAUUUUAUUCAGUUGUUGAAGGGAUUCUCUUACAUUUGAAACAAAUUAUUUCGAUUUGUUGGGAAAACCUGUAAGACAAGAUGCGAAGGAAAAUUAUAUUACUGAAGUGGAGGUUGGAUUUAACAGUGAAGUGGCACUUGCCUCAAUUUUUAAGUUCAAAAAAUUUUGACCUAUUUUGGGGACUAUAUAACUCUGUAAUAAUUGUACUUUAUAGCAUUUUCGUCAAAAAUUUGCCGUUAUCGAGAUUAUGGAUAUUUUAUGAUUGGUAGCGUCUAAAAGAGUAAAAAAAAAUCUUCCUGUUUGAUAAUAAGGAUUUGACUUGAAGAUUUAGUGGGUUUCGAAGGAAAUGUCAGAAGGCAUUGUUUAAAGAAAAUAGAAUUUUCAGCGAAAAACCUUCAAUUUUUCCUCAAAACCACUUAUUCUUGCGGAUUCGAUAGUUUCCUCAAUACUUUGCCACUUCACUGAAUUAUCAAUUAUUUAAACAUUUUCCUUAUUCUUCGUGUUAAAAGUAUUAGAUAGACUUUUAGGUAUUUAUCCAAAGUGCGAUAUUGCGUGUGAAGGACACUGCAAGUUACAUCAUCUCAAUUAUUUUAAUUAACAUAUAUAUUUUUUCAAGAGAAAUUAAUAAUUGAUUUAGUGAUGUAUGUGGUUGUGUGCCAUUCCUUGGGGAUUUGGGAGGGGGGAGGGGGUGGGGGAAGAGAUGUUUAAUCUUCACUUUCUCUGAAUUUCAUAAAUACAGAAAGGAAAAGAACGAACACCUACAUAAAAUCCACUCAUUUGUUUUUUUAAUUAAAUUACUAGAGAAUUUAUCUAUAAUUUUUGUGUUAAGUUCCCUUCCCCGACCCCUUCAUUCUUUGUUCGAUUUAUCAACAGGGCAGGUCCCUCUAAACAAAAAACGAAGAAAAGGAAAUCAUUAAAUCAUUUUUAAAAGUCCCCAAACUCUUUAUAUUGAGCAUUUAGUUUAUAGAAAUUAGAACUAAAUGUAGAUGGAAUGCUAGACAAUUUAUUCAAUAUUAUUAAUGAUAAUCCAACAACAACAAUCAUCCCCCCCCCCAUCCACCUCCAUUUAUCAUUCAUAAAUUUGUGAGAUUUAAUUUUCUUUUUGUUAAACUGAAUUUUCAUUACUGUAAAAAUAAUAAUAAAUCAUGAAAACCAAAAGAGGAAAAGGGGAAUGUGUAGAUAAUUAAUUAGUUUUUUUUAUUGUCAUAAGUUGAAUGAGACCCGUGCUUGCUUCCCUGCUUGAGAUUAAUAUUUCUUUUGGCGAGUGAAUGUGUGUUACCGAGAGUAUAAUGAAAAAAUAUAUACAAUGGGAGAAAGAAUGUGAAUUCUAGAGAUAACGAGAUGAUAAACCAUUAAUAAAAUAAGUUAUUCGAUGCCACAUGAGAUUAAUUAUUUACUUUCUUAUAUGUUUACCGAUAGAAAAAUAUAAAAAUAUAAUUGACGACAUUCAGUUAAUUUAUGGGUACAAAUUUAAAAUAAUAUUUUCGAAAUGUUCGUUACUGCUGAUAUUUUUAAUACUCAAAAUAUAAGUUAUGGUCGGCUUAUCUGUAAUUUUUUCAUCCAGAAUUUUUUAUAAAAUUCAUAUCGAUAGCUAUAUUAUAUUAUUUUUCGUGAAUUAUUUGUUUCUUAAUGAAUGAGUUGUGCGAUAUGGCUUUGGCUAUUGCGAGAUAACGUGGAUUUGCUGCUAUCCCCAAUACUUAUCGCAUGCCGGGCCAACAAGUUCUAACAGUUCCACAUAUUGUCAGCCCUGGUGAGAGUGGUGGGACAGUAGUAUAGCCACAGCCUGAUUCCCCCAGAUCGACAGACUCAUCAAUAAUUAAUAAUAAAAAUAGUGAUAACUAUUCACAGUCAUCAUCGCGGUCUACAGUAGUACCAUUUCUACCCCCAAAAAAUCAUCGUCAUUUGUAUUACAUAUGGCCCAGCGAGCACUACUCGAGUCCAGUCUGAGUUUUCAAUGAUUUACGAAAUCAAAAAAGCUGAUAAAUAUUUUUUUCUCCAUCGAGUUAAUGUCUCCAACAGAAGAGUGAUUAUUCAUUCAACGAUCAACAGCAAGACGAUAUAGUUUAACAGUUUUCACAUGCUUUUGUACAAUUUUUUAAGUAAAAACAAAACUAACGAGAUAAUAUGACAGAGUUGAGUGGCUCUUAUAAAUAUUGAACUGAAUCAAUUCAUUAAAAAAACUAUUGAGAGUAUUAGAAAGUGAAUUAAGGUAUGCCUGAAUCAAAGUGUGAAGAUUGCGAUUAUCAUUCCAUUAUUUGCUUGAUAGGUAGAAUUCAAUGAUUGCAUGAAAAAUUAAAACAAUGUCAAUUGAUUACAAAAAGAAAUUAUGAAUCUUCGUCUGAAUAGAUUUGCAAUGCUACGACCCUCACGUCUAAUCUCCAGAAUAAUUGUCUUUAUUAGCGAAAAUGAAUAUUAAUUUGUUGAUAUGGCGCAGCUCAAUAAAUCUUUUAGCACAAUUUUCAUGAGAGAUUCAUACAAAAAAAGAUGAAUCGCCACUGUUGAAUUGCCUUAGUAAAAUCGUAAGUAAGAGAAAAAAAAUUAUGAGAUUUAUGUAAUGACAAAGUUCUUCAUUUCCUCACGUUUAUGAUUAUACAUGAGAGCAGUUGAGUAUUUUUUAGCUUAACAAAAUGACAAACGUUGAAAUGUGUAAAAGAAUCGUGUGGGAAAAAAACAUAAUGGAGAAUAUCCCAGUGGAGAAUUGCAAUCAUUGUUAUUUUUACCAACAAAUUUCACAUUAUGGCAGUCACUUCAUUCAUUCAAGUUCCAAUUAUUAAAAUUAUUAAACAACAAAGAAAAUUAUUUCUACAGUUUUAUCUAAAUAAACAGUAUAAUUUUGAAAAAUGAAACAAUAUUUUCGUUGUAUUAGAGUAGAGUAAUUCUGAAAAUUCCGAAAAUGAAUAUUUUAGUGAAAAACACUUGGAUAUUCUCUCUUUGCUUUACUACAAUGUAUGAUGAAAAUAACGUGGGUGUAUGACAUGUUGAUAAAGAAAAUAAAUUGACAUGAGAGAGUAGUUCCUGCACCUGAGGGCUAUGAGAUAACUUUCCAAGUUUUCAAGUUUUACGAAGAGACUGGAUAAUUCAUUGUCGGCAUGUGAAAAUGAAAAUUCCUGAAUAAGAAAACAUUUUGAAAAAUUUUCCAAGAACUUUUUCGGAUUCAGGAAUUAGAGUUUAGAAAAUUAUUCAGAAUUUUUUCCUAAAAUCCUAUGGCUUUCAGGUGUACAUUCAAUGUAUUAUAAGGAAAGUGGUCCGGAGAAUAUGGCAAAAUAUAUAAAUGAA